rnacentral:rRNA from 1 species
UGCUUAACACAUGCAAGUCUACGAGAAAGAGGUAGCAAUAUCUUGAUUAAAGUGGCGCACGGGUGAGUAACACGUAAGCAAUCUACCCUUAGAUCCGGAAUAACUUCGAGAAAUCGUGGCUAAUACCGGGUAAUGCAGCGGCACCGCAUGGUGAUGUUGUUAAAGUUUCGAUGUCUAAGGAUGAGCUUGCGUCUGAUUAGCUAGUUGGUGAGGUAACGGCCCACCAAGGCUACGAUCAGUAGCUGGUCUGAGAGGAUGAUCAGCCACACUGGAACUGAGACACGGUCCAGACUCCUACGGGAGGCAGCAGUGAGGAAUAUUGGGCAAUGCCCGCAAGGGUGACCCAGCAACGCCGCGUGGAGGAUGAAUGCCGUAAGGUUGUUACUCC